rnacentral:sRNA from 1 species
GCGAUGAGCUAUUUUGCAUAAGCCGAAAGAUAUGCAUUAAUGCUAAACGUUACGUGGACUUAACGGUCUUUCGCCGCAAAACGUACAUGAUACUUGCAGAAGCAAGUGUA